GGAGAAUUACCCAAGUGGCUUAAGGGGCUCGAUUGGAAAUCGUGUAGGUCAUGAUGAGUGGCGCGAGGGUUCAAAUCCCUCAUUCUCCGCCA
rnacentral:tRNA from 1 species